rnacentral:rRNA from 1 species
GACGAACGCUGGCGGCGUGCAUAACACAUGCAAGUCGAACGAAGAGCGAUGGAAGCUUGCUUCUAUCAAUCUUAGUGGCGAACGGGUGAGUAACGCGUAAUCAACCUGCCCUUCAGAGGGGGACAACAGUUGGAAACGACUGCUAAUACCGCAUACGAUCUAAUCUCGGCAUCGAGGAUAGAUGAAAGGUGGCCUCUACAUGUAAGCUAUCACUGAAGGAGGGGAUUGCGUCUGAUUAGCUAGUUGGAGGGGUAACGGCCCACCAAGGCGAUGAUCAGUAGCCGGUCUGAGAGGAUGAACGGCCACAUUGGGACUGAGACACGGCCCAGACUCCUACGGGAGGCAGCAGUGGGGAAUCUUCCGCAAUGGACGAAAGUCUGACGGAGCAACGCCGCGUGAGUGAUGACGGCCUUCGGGUUGUAAAGCUCUGUUAAUCGGGACGAAAGGCCUUCUUGCGAAUAGUGAGAAGGAUUGACGGUACCGGAAUAGAAAGCCACGGCUAACUACGUG